UCCCAGCCGAAGUUCAUAAGAGGCCAACCCUCUCAGGACUCUUCCAGCUUCCGACCUUGUGCGAUGUCUUUCUGAACUCCCCCGACCGUCCGAGCUUCUGCAGUACCAUCCAGACUCCUCCAGCAGUCGACCUUCCACAGUAUCCUCCAGAUUCCUCCAACGAAUGAACUCCUAUCGUACCCUCCAGACUUCUCUGAUAAUGAGCUCCUUCAAUCAUCUAUCGGACUGCUCCAAAUGCUCUCUGGGCUUCACUAUCAGUCGAUUUUCUAUAGUGAUCGACUACUCUCCGAAUCUCUUCCAGACUUCCUCCUGUCACGAUCGACUUUACUCCGAGCUUCUUUCGGACUUCGUCAAUGUCCGAGCUUCUCCAGCAGCAGGACUUCUAU
rnacentral:lncRNA from 1 species